rnacentral:rRNA from 1 species
UACAGAGGGUGCAAGCGUUGUUCGGAAUCAUUGGGCGUAAAGGGCGUGUAGGCGGUUUGUUAAGUCAUGUGUGAAAUCCCCGGGCUCAACCCGGGAACUGCGUCCGAUACUGGCAGGCUUGAAUCCGGGAGAGGGAUGUGGAAUUCCAGGUGUAGCGGUGAAAUGCGUAGAUAUCUGGAGGAACACCGGUGGCGAAGGCGGCAUCCUGGACCGGUAUUGACGCUGAUGCGCGAAAGCCAGGGGAGCAAACGGG